UACGAAUGUGGCUAGCGUUGUUCGGAUUUACUGGGCGUAAAGCGCAUGUAGGCGGACCAUUAAGUUGGGGGUGAAAUCCCGAGGCUCAACCUCGGAAUUGCCUCCAAAACUGUUGGUCUGGAGCAGAAGAGAGGCGAGUGGAAUUCCGAGUGUAGAGGUGAAAUUCGUAGAUAUUCGGAGGAACACAAGUGGCGAAGGCGACUCGCUGGCUUCUUGCUGACGCUGAGAUGCGAAAGCGUGGGGAGUAAACAGG
rnacentral:rRNA from 1 species